UACGGAGGAUGCAAGCGUUGUCCGGAAUGAUUGGGCGUAAAGCGUCCGCAGGUGGCAAUGUAAGUCUGCUGUCAAAGCGUCUGGCUCAACCAGAUAAAGGCAGUGGAAACUACAUAGCUAGAGUAAGGUAGGGGUAGAGGGAAUUCCUGGUGUAGCGGUGAAAUGCGUAGAGAUCAGGAAGAACACCGGUGGCGAAAGCGCUCUGCUGGACCUUAACUGACACUGAGGGACGAAAGCUAGGGGAGCGAAUGGG
rnacentral:rRNA from 1 species